rnacentral:lncRNA from 1 species
GUCAUAUCACACCUCUGCAAAGUAGUCACGGCAAGGCAGUGGAGCUAAUUGCUACAGUUGAUAAAACAUGAACAAGGCUGUUCAGAAGACCAAGCCGGAUAUGGAAAGAGAGAAAAUGUUAGCCAAAUCCUUUUCAGUUCAGUUUCUCCCAACUUCAGUGGAACUGCUGUUGUCUUCCCCACAUACUUCAUUUCAUAGAUUAUUACAUUUGCUUUCAUUCCAACCCCUACCUUUGCAGCACAAAUUUACACAUUCCUGGAGGAUUCUGAAUAUUAUGUUACAGACACACUGAAUACUCAGCCUCAGAUCAUUCCCUUCAGCACUGGAAAUACACAAUAAGUACCCUUCCUAGAUUAAUUUUCCUUCCCUUUUAAUGCUGUUUCACAAUUACUUUCUGACCAAACUUUUAUAAACUUAAAAUUGAUAUUCAUCUUCUUUUGCUUGAUUUCUACCUAAUUUUUAUCAUUCUGGGCUGAAAUACACACCAUAUAUUCACUAGAGCAUUAUAACAUAGUAAAUUUGUCUUUUUUUUUUUUUUUUUUGACAGACAAAGUUAGACAGUGAGAGAGAGAGAGAGACAGAGAGAAAGGUCUUCUUUUCAUUGAUUCACCCCCCCCAAAUGACCACUACGGCCAGCGCUGCGCCAAUCUGAAGCCAGGAGCCAGGUAUUUCCUCCUGGUCCCAAAUGCGGGUGCAGAGCCCAAGCACUUGGGCCAUCCUCCACUGUGACCUUCCCGGGCCACAGUAGAGAGCUGGACUGGAAGAGGAGCAACCGGGACUAGGACCCAGUGCCCCAACAGGGACUAGAACCUGGGGUGCCAGCACCACAGGUGGAGGAUUAGCCAAGUGAGCCACGGCGUCGGCCAGAAAAUUUGUCUUUAAUAUACUAUUUUAGAUUUUAAUAGCCAGAUUUCUAGUUCAAAUAAUUCAACAGAGCCCACAGUUCAAGUUGAAUGGAGUUUGAUUGAACAACCCUAACUCAAAAUGCAGAAAAAUAUCCAUUGCUAUACCUUCAAAUGCCAACAUUUUUGAACAAGGAAUACUUUUUGUGCAAAUGGUUUGCCUACAAAAUUUCACUAACUUCUGCUAAAGAGUGAAGUUCAAGGGGAAAACUAAGUAACUAUUUUUU